AUGAGGGCAUGCAUGCUUGGUGAUGCCCAGCUUGUGGGGGUGCUAAGAUGCUCAACCCCUCGUCCUCUCCGAGCAAAAGUUGAGAAUAGCAAGGUUAGUUGCUUAGUUUUGCCCAUGGACAUGAUUGCUCUUCUCAUGUUUUCUUGUUCUGAAGAGAAUCUCUUCCUCUUUGAGGAAUCAAGUUUUCUUGGUUUGCUCACGCCUUGUUGCUCUGUUCUUGUACGUGCUGCAGGCAGACCCCUAGAUCCAGGAGGUUUUGGAGAUGCAACCUCCAAAUCUUGGGCUCCAGAGCGACAAGGAGAUUCUGAGCUUCCAAGUGUAUGUGUAUGCAAAUGUGUUCUGCAUACAACUGUUACCAUGGAAGGUCCCUCCUCUCCUGAGAGCGGGAACUCGCAGCAGCAGGCACUCCAGCCACCUCAAGCACUAGACGAGCUAGCCUUUGGCUUGGGCAUGUUCAACAUGGAUGACAUUAGAGGGCCGGGGCAUCCAUUACUGUGGCACCAGUUUGCUGGUGACGAUACUAGGGAGCCCAGAGAAGCGGAGCUUGCCCUCGCCGAGCACCAGGGCAAGUACAUGGCUGCCAUCCUUAAAAAGCUCGGCGAGGAACAAGGAAGUGUCGAUGACACGAGCUCUGGGACCGGGUCCGGCGGAAACCUAAGCUUCAAGUGUGAGGCUGGCGGCUGCUCGUCGGUGGCGGCGUCGUCGGUGUUGUACUCGCAGCUAUCAUUCGUGUCGGUGCCGGUCACGAGGACGGAGCAGCAGCAGCCGUCUUGGGGGAAUGGGAACGGGAAAUACAGCUACAGCAAUGGGUACGCGUCCUGGCUGUCAUCAGUGAGCCACAAGAGCUCGGUGUUGGAGGCGUACGGAUGGAGCAGUGGAUGGGAGUUUCCAUUUUACUCGUUUUUCUUUUUGGUAGUCUUGUAG
rnacentral:rRNA from 1 species